AUGCCAAAGAAGAUAUCCAUGUGUUUUGAAGAGCAGAAAUACUGGAAUGCAGCUGGAAAGCAGCUCAGGGCUCCUGCCAGUCGUACUGGCUCACCACUAAGAGUUUAUCUACACUCCACAAGAGAGCUUCUUCAGACCCAGACAGCUUCUGCUUCAUUUCAUCAUCAAGCACUACCUGCUAACUCUGGAAGUGAAGUCAUGUUUAUUGCCUACUCUUCUCAAAGAGCUGUUCACUGGAUUGUUGGGAAGCCUUCAACAUAUGUUUACAGUAAUGCACCAUGAUGUCAACUUCAGGAAACGUGGAAUGGGACCACUCAGAAAGGCUUGGUCAUGGCUUGCGUGAGGACACGUGCAGAGGACACAGACAGUGGUAGCCUUCCUGCUCUCUGGAAGUCACUGCAUGGAAAGAACCCGGAGACCCUCCGGUUCAGAAAAAUGAGGAGUCAAAACUAGCACCCAAGAAUUGCUAAUAGAGCAGAAGAAACCAGAACAAAUGGAAGCUACAGGUAAAACCAAAUCUCUUGGUCAGACACAGCUGAACAAACAUGACUUUGGCACUACUGAAACAACCAGCUCUCAGGGUGCUGCUCAGGCACUCACCUCCCCAGUUGCUGAAGGCCACUAAAGCCUCACAGGUAUGCUUGAGAUGGCAUGAGGUUAGCCAGUGGCAGUGGCCACAUAAUGCCUUCUUAUUUAGGAAUAGAUUUUUUUUUCUGAGGGAGAAAACAACAGAACAAAAGCAACUGUAAUGAAGUAUUUGCACAUCCAUACACCCUGGGCUGGAGCGUCCCUUCC
rnacentral:lncRNA from 1 species